AUUGGCGGCGAGAAGCAAGACAAGAAGAGGACGCGCUUACGGCCUGGAGCUGGCUGGCUGGCUUUCCUGAUCUGAAGGUCGGAGAGCUACCCGAGGCCCCUUCCCCUCAGGGGGCGCAGAUCCUGGUUUCCAGCAGGAAAUAGAAAUGGAAGGGGUCCGGCGUCAGGAGGACUACAGCCCGGGAGCGGUCUCCUAGGCCACCCUCGGAGCUGAACAAGCCAUAUUUCCUGAAACCGAGGAGCUAUAAAAACUGAAAAAGGUGUUGCUCUAACACAACCUGAGAACAUCUAAGGAAGGUAAGUCCAAAGUAUUAUUUUUAUAGUAAAAUGACAUACUAUUUUGAAGUUGAAUUAAACUUUAGAGUUAUUCUCAUAUAUUAGUUCUUUGGAUGACAUUUUUCUUCUUGGUUGGCAUUCUGUGUUAAGAUUUCCUUGGGCAUUCUAUUUCUGGCUGUUAAAAUGUCUAAACUAUAGGAGAAAUUUUCAGUUAUUAAAUAGUGCUUUCAUAAAAUCAGAAGUAUCUUAAUUUUAAAAUAUCAUACUCAUAGUGAGUGUGAUUAACAAAAACAACUGUAUUGAGACUUGAGGAAGAGGUUACAAAUUUACCUUCCUAAUUAGUAGCCCCCCAACAUUCUGAACUUUAGGCUUUGCAUCUUUCUCUCACACCUUGACCAUGUUGUUAAAUUAGCCCUGCUCCUUGUGCUGUAUGCAUGUGGUAAAAUUCCAUCUGAAUACUUCAAGGUUAAUAGGACUUUACAUUUUUUUUCGUCUUUUUGCCAUUUCUUGGGCCGCUCUAGCGGCCUAUGGAGGUUCCCAGGCUAGGGGUCGAAUCCGAGCCAUAGCCGCUGGCCUAUGCCAGAGCCACAGCAACUCAGGAUCCGAGCCGCAUCUGCAACCUACACCACAGCUCACCGCAACGCCAGAUCAUUAACCCACUGAAGAAGGCCAGGGAUCCAACCCGCAACCUCUUGGUUCCUAGUCGGAUUCGUUAACCACUGCGCCACCAUGGGAACUCCAGGACUUUACAUUUUUAAUCUGCUCUCCAAUGAUUUACCUUCUUCUGUGGGUUUUUUCAUGCCCUUCGGUUGCUCGUGUUUUGCUGGGUAUUGCCACUCAUCAGGCAUCUCUUCUGUGUGCAUCGUGGCUGCUUCUUUUGGAUACAGCUGAAGAUGAAUGUACUGGGAACACGGAGAUGCCACUCUGCACUGUUCAUGGUUGAUUAUCUGCUAUAUACUCCAUCAGAGGGUUCCAAAAUGGUCUGCAGAAGUUCUGUCAAUAGUUUUAAUAUAAAAAGGUAUUUUCAUUUUUGUUUAUGGCCCUCUGUCUCCUGAGAACAUAGCUUUGAAUCCACAGUACUCUGAGUUAGGGCUGAUCCCAAUCUCAGAAACUAUGGUUCAUUCAGAAUUACUUCUCUAAGCACCAAGACUUUGUUUCAAGAUCAAGCUACCUAAUCUUCUCUUUGUUUAAGAUAAUAAGUUUACUCCCAGGAGGUUUCCCAGUCUUUCAUGUAAAAUAGAUUUCAGGUGGUUGUUUUCCUGUUCUUUCAAAAUUGCUCAGAUAUGUUUGAAUCCCAGUGAUGGAAACAGCUUAGACUGUAUAUUUAGGAAAUAGUUGGGACUAUUCCCUUUCCCAAUAAAUUCAAUCAGAAUCAGAUCUAUAUACACACUAUGAAUUACCAUGUUGGCAGAUGAAAACUUUGCUGAGCUUAACAAAUACCUUUUUAAUGUUUAAACAAUUUUUAAUAAGAAUGCCAUCCAUCUGUUGAAAGCCAAACAAUAAAUUGUGAACAGAAAAUGGAAUAGCCAAUGCAUGGAUAAGUUACUCUUUGUACUUAAACUUAGCUAAUUGUCAACAGAUUGAUAUCCACACAGUCUGAGACAAACCUCUCAAGAUCAGAUUAAGGCAUUUUUGAUCUUUUUCUUUUGUUUUCUUUUCUUUCUCUCCUUCCUUCCUUCUUUCUUUCUUUCUUUUUUAGUGUGCCAUUCACCAUUUCAUAGGAGAGCAUGGUGCUUCUUUAUAGGAGAAGUUGGGUAGCAUCUUGUAUAGCAUCAGGUCGCAUGUUCUCUAAUGGGGAGGUUAAGGAAAUUAUGUAAAAUGACUACAUAAUACAAGGUAAGUAGUAUUACUGAAGUAUAGGGAGUGAUCAAGUAAUGUCAAAUAUAAUAUGUAGCUUAAAAGACAUGCCAAUAAAUUGUUUUAGGCUGUUCAAAGAUGGGCAAGAUAACAUCAGAAACUGUGAAAGAUUAUAUUCAAAGCAACAAUAUUUAGGCCAGCAGCAUACUUCUCAGCGUUAACAGGUGACAUUUGAAGGUAAAGGAUGAGGGCUAGGAGUUCCCUGUGGUACAGUGGGUAUAGAAUCUGGCAUUGUUACUGCAACAGCUUAGGUUGCUCCUGUGGCCUGGGUUUGAUCCCUGGCCAGGGAACUUCUGCAUGCUGUUGGCACGGCCAAAAAAAAUAAUGGCAACAUAAGGGGGGAAGGGACAAAAAAAAAUUUUCAGACAAAAAGGUAUGGGAAUUUAUUACUCACCUUUGAUAAUUAUAAUAGGAGUUAUAGGAGAUACAGGAAGAAGUCUCUUAAACCUCGAAGGAAAGAGUAGACAGCAAGAAAAAAUAGUGCAUAAAAAGGUUGACUAUCAGAGUUCCUGUUGUGGCUCAGUGCUUAUGAAUCUGACUAGUAUCCAUGAGGAUGCGGGUUCAAUCCCUGGCCUUACCCAGUGGGUUAAGGAUCUGGCAUUGCCAUGAGCUGUGGUGUAGGUCGCAGAUAUGGCUAGGAUCUAGUAUUGCUGUGACUGUGGUGUAGGCCGGCAGCUGAAGCUCCGAUUCAGCCCCUAGCCUGGGAACUUCCAUAUGCCGCAGAUGUAGGCCUAAGAAGCAAACAAGACAAACAAACAAACAAAAAAGAGGUUGAUUAUCAUUGGAGUUCCCUGGGUCAGUGGAUUAAGGAUCUGGCAUUGUCACUGCUAUGGCACGGGUUUGAUCCCUGGCU
rnacentral:lncRNA from 1 species